rnacentral:rRNA from 1 species
GAGCAUACCGCGUGAGGGAGGAAGGCUCUUGGGUUGUAAACCUCAAAACUUAGGGAAGAAGAAAGUGACGGUACCUAAUAUAAGCAUCGGCUAACUCCGUGCCAGCAGCCGCGGUAAUACGGAGGAUGCAAGCGUUAUCCGGAAUCAUUGGGCGUAAAGAGUCUGUAGGUGGCAUUUAAAGUCUGCUGUCAAAGACCGAAGCUCAACUUCGGGCCGGCGGUGGAAACUGAAAAGCUAGAGUAUAGUAGGGGUAGAGGGAAUUCCUAGUGUAGCGGUGAAAUGCGUAGAGAUUAGGAAGAACACCAGUGGCGAAGGCGCUCUACUGGGCAUAUACUGACACUGAGAGACGAAAGCUAGGGUAGCGAAAGGGAUUAGAUACCCCUGUAGUCCUAGCGGUAAACGAUGGAUACUAGGUGUAGUCUGUAUCGACCCAGACUGUGCCGAAGCAAACGCGUUAAGUAUCCCGCCUGGGGAGUACGCACGCAAGUGUGAAACUCAAAGGAAUUGACGGGGACCCGCACAAGCGGUGGAGUAUGUGGUUUAAUUCGAUGCAACGCGAAGAACCUUACCAAGGCUUGACAUCCUGCGAAUUUUGGGGAAACUCAGAAGUGCCUUCGGGAACGCAGAGACAGGUGGUGCAUGGCUGUCGUCAGCUCGUGUCGUGAGAUGUUGGGUUAAGUCCCGCAACGAGCGCAACCCUCGUCCUUAGUUGCCAGCAUUAAGUUGGGGACUCUAGGGAGACCGCCGGGGAGAACUCGGAGGAAGGUGGGGAUGACGUCAAGUCAGCAUGCCCCUUACGUCUUGGGCUACACACGUACUACAAUGGUUGAGACAAAGGGAAGCGAAGCCGCGAGGUGAAGCGAAUCCCAGCAAACUCAGCCCCAGUUCAGAUUGCAGGCUGAAACUCGCCUGCAUGAAGGAGGAAUCGCUAGUAAUCGCAGGUCAGCAUACUGCGGUGAAUCCGUUCCCGGGUCUUGUACACACCGCCCGUCACACCAUGGAAGUUGGUCACGCCCGAAGUCGUUACUCCAACUGUUUACAGAGGAGGAUGCCGAAGGUGGGACUAGUGACUGGGGUGAAGUCGUAACAAGGUAGCCGUACCGGAAGGUG